UUCGGUGCUCAGAAACACUUUAAAGCGCGGGUGGAUUUUCGAGCAGGACUAAAAGCCGAGAAGAACAAUUCAAGGGAAGUCUUGCUUCGUGCAGGUUAAAUUCGCCUUUCAAUGCUGGAAAAAGUUCUUAAGUUUCUUCGUAUCACAUGUUCUCGGACAAGUUUCGUCGAGUCACGCAUGGCGAACCAGCAAAAUCCGAGCGCUAGCAAUCUCUGUACAUACAUACUCAUCUCUGCUUGUAGACUAUUAUGGUCAACCAAGAUUUGUACAGUCAUCGUAUACAAUGUUUGAGGUUGCAUCAUAGACAGGGCAUAAACAAUAUAGGUACACAAAACAACACCAAUAUGAUAGAACGGUAAACUAAUGACAGAGAGAAUACAUAUUCCUUGUAAGUUGAUAAUAGAGAGAAUAUUCCUCGUCGCUAACAACAAUACAGACAAAUAGUAUGCAAUAAUUAAAUGCAAGGAUUGGAAAGGUUCCAGAUAGAAUUGUUUCAAACUGUUAUAUGUACAUAUAUCAGUUUUGACGAAAACAGU